rnacentral:rRNA from 1 species
AGGGCACCACCAGGAGUGGAGCCUGCGGCUUAAUUUGACUCAACACGGGAAAUCUCACCAGGCCCGGACACUGGAAGGAUUGACAGAUUGAGAGCUCUUUCUCGAUUCGGUGGGUGGUGGUGCAUGGCCGUUCUUAGUUGGUGGAGUGAUUUGUCUGGUUAAUUCCGAUAACGAACGAGACUCUGUCCUGCUAAAUAGUUCCCGCGUCCUUUGUUGCGCGGGAAAUUCUUCUUAGAGGGACUGGCGGCGUCUAGCCGCACGAGAUUGAGCAAUAACAGGUCUGUGAUGCCCUUAGAUGUUCUGGGCCGCGCGCGCGCUACACUGAAGGGAUCAGCGUGUCUUCCCUUCCCGAGAGGGACGGGUAACCCGCUGAACCCCCUUCGUGGUAGGGAUCGGGGCUUGCAAUUAUUCCCCGUGAACCAGGAAUUCCCAGUAAGCGCAAGUCAUAAGCUUGCGUUGAUUACCUCCCUGCCCUUUGUACACACCGCCCGUCGCUACUACCGAUUGAACGUUUUAGUG